GAUGAACGCUGGCGGCGUGCUUAACACAUGCAAGUCGAACGGAAAGGCUCCUGCUUUCAGGGGUACUCGAGUGGCGAACGGGUGAGUAACACGUGGGUGAUCUGCCCUGCACUUCGGGAUAAGCCUGGGAAACUGGGUCUAAUACCGGAUAGGACCACAUUUUGGAUGGUGUGGUGGAAAGUUUUUCGGUGUGGGAUGAGCUCGCGGCCUAUCAGCUUGUUGGUGGGGUAAUGGCCUACCAAGGCGUCGACGGGUAGCCGGCCUGAGAGGGUGUACGGCCACAUUGGGACUGAGAUACGGCCCAGACUCCUACGGGAGGCAGCAGUGGGGAAUAUUGCACAAUGGGCGCAAGCCUGAUGCAGCGACGCCGCGUGGGGGAUGACGGCCUUCGGGUUGUAAACUCCUUUCGCUAGGGACGAAGCGCAAGUGACGGUACCUGGAGAAGAAGCACCGGCUAACUACGUG
rnacentral:rRNA from 1 species